CAGUAGCCGCGGUAAUACAGAGGGUGCAAGCGUUAAUCGGAAUUACUGGGCGUAAAGCGCGCGUAGGUGGUUCGCCAAGUUGGAUGUGAAAUCCCCGGGCUCAACCUGGGAACUGCAUCCAAAACUGGCGAGCUAGAGUAUGGUAGAGGGUGGUGGAAUUUCCUGUGUAGCGGUGAAAUGCGUAGAUAUAGGAAGGAACAUCAGUGGCGAAGGCGACCACCUGGACUGAUACUGACACUGAGGUGCGAAAGCGUGGGGAGCAAACAGGAUUAGAUACCCGGGUAGUCCCUGUCUCUUAUAC
rnacentral:rRNA from 1 species